AAACUGAUAAGAUGGAAGACAAACAUGUUCUCAACAUGACUGAACCAUUAAAGGUUUGUACUGCCUGACCAUCUCUUUGAACCUGCACAAUAUCAAUCCUUAGUUUUUCCAACUGGAUUGCUGGAUGAGGUGGAGGAGGGAGAGGAGGGAGAGGAGGGAGAGGGGACUUGGGUUGUACCAAGUUGGGCAGUGCAGAGUUCAGGGGGCGGGGUUUGAAGUCACAGAAACUCUUCAAGCCACUGAGUCAAGCUACUGCUGAGGGAGAAACACAAACCAAAGCCAGUGGGUGUGUCUCAGGGAGAAGAGGGAGAGUCUGAACUCAGCUCUGAGAGGGUUUCAGAAGGAGCACUGACAUACAGGGCCUGUGUCCACCAGAGGGCGCUGAUGAGCUCAGGUGCUGAUGGCCCUCUGCCAUGCUCACCUCCAGUACCUGCAAAGCUUUUAAAAGCCUUAUUUCAGGGAAUCAAACACCGUAUAGACAAAGAACAAACUAAAUCUGAGACAGUGCAGCAACCACUCUCUUGGACUGAAACAUCUGUGGACGUCAGAUGUUUGGAUCUGAACCAACAGCCUGUUUAAAGGGCUGCUCCUCAUCAAGCCCCUGGGUCACAAAGGUCAAGAGGUUCUCAGUCUGUAUUUUGGAGCGUCAUUUCUCAGACUCCAGUCUUACUGGUGGGGUUUAGGCUUCAAGCCAGAUUCAUGUACUGUAUUUUGGUUCAAAUCAGCAAUGAAAUUCUGUUUUAUAAAUCUGGACUAGUUGCCUCAACAAAAGAAUUAGAUCCACAGCCAUUCUUUAAUUACCAGCAGCUGAUAUUCAGUCAUUUUGCAGAUAUAAUAACCAUUAAAGGUUUGUACUGCCUGACCAUCUCUUUGUACCUGCACAAUAUCAAUCCUUAGUUUUUCCAACUGGAUUGCUGGAUGAGGUGGAGGAGGGAGAGGAGGGAGAGGAGGGAGAGGGGACUUGGGUUGUACCAAGUUGGGCAGUGCAGAGUUCAGGGGGCGGGGUUUGAAGUCACAGAAACUCUUCAAGCCACUGAGUCAAGCUACUGCUGAGGGAGAAACACAAACCAAAGCCAGUGGGUGUGUCUCAGGGAGAAGAGGGAGAGUCUGAACUCAGCUCUGAGAGGGUUUCAGAAGGAGCACUGACAUGCAUGGUCUGUGUCCACCAGAGGGCGCUGAUGAGCUCAG